rnacentral:rRNA from 1 species
GAUGAACGCUGGCGGCGUGCUUAACACAUGCAAGUCGAACGAUGAAGCCCAGCUUGCUGGGUGGAUUAGUGGCGAACGGGUGAGUAACACGUGAGUAACCUGCCCUUAACUCUGGGAUAAGCCUGGGAAACUGGGUCUAAUACCGGAUAGGAGCGUCCACCGCAUGGUGGGUGUUGGAAAGAUUUAUCGGUUUUGGAUGGACUCGCGUCCUAUCAGCUUGUUGGUGAGGUAAUGGCUCACCAAGGCGACGACGGGUAGCCGGCCUGAGAGGGUGACCGGCCACACUGGGACUGAGACACGGCCCAGACUCCUACGGGAGGCAGCAGUGGGGAAUAUUGCACAAUGGGCGCAAGCCUGAUGCAGCGACGCCGCGUGAGGGAUGACGGCCUUCGGGUUGUAAACCUCUUUCAGUAGGGAAGAAGCGAAAGUGACGGUACCUGCAGAAGAAGCACCGGCUAACUACGUG